rnacentral:rRNA from 1 species
UACAGGGGGUGCAACCGUUGCUCGGAAUCAUUGGGCGUAAAGCGCGCGUAGGCGGUUCGUUAUGUCGGAUGUGAAAGCCCUUGGCUUAACCGAGGAAGUGCAUCCGAAACUGGCGAGCUAGAGUACGAAAGAGGAUCGCGGAAUUCCCGGUGUAGAGGUGAAAUUCGUAGAUAUCGGGAGGAACACCGGUGGCGAAGGCGGCGAUCUGGGUCGAUACUGACGCUGAGGUGCGAAAGCGUGGGGAGCAAACAGG